CUUGAUCGACCCCAGCCAGAGCGGCGCGUCCUCGGUGUGCUCGCUGCCGUAGGUGGCCAGCAGCGCCUGGGCCUC
rfam:Streptomyces varsoviensis strain NRRL B-3589 P027contig391.8, whole genome shotgun sequence.